GACGAACGCUGGCGGCGUGCUUAAUACAUGCAAGUCAACUGAACUUAAGAUAGCAAUAUUUUAAGGGAGGUGGCGCACGGGUGAGUAACACGUAGGUAAUCUGCCUUUAGGACUGACAUAACCCAGAGAAAUCUGGGCUAAUAUCAGAUGAUGCAGCGGCUCGACAUCGAGACAGUUGUUAAACCUUCGGGGCCUAAAGAUGAGCCUGCGUCUGAUUAGGUAGUUGGCGGGGUAACGGCCCACCAAGCCAUCGAUCAGUAGCUGAUCUGAGAGGAUGAUCAGCCACACUGGGACUGAGACACGGCCCAGACUCCUACGGGAGGCAGCAGUGGGGAAUCUUGGACAAUGGGCGCAAACCUGAUCCAGCCAUGCCGCGUGAGUGAAGAAGGCCUUAGGGUUGUAAAGCUCUUUUACCAGGGACGAUAAUGACGGUACCUGGAGAAUAAGCCCCGGCAAACUUCGUGCCAGCAGCCGCGGUAA
rnacentral:rRNA from 1 species